rnacentral:rRNA from 1 species
AGCAGCCGCGGUAAUUCCAGCUCCAAUAGCGUAUAUUAAAGUUGUUGCAGUUAAAAAGCUCGUAGUUGAAUUUCGGGAUCAGUUGGUCGGUCGUGCCUCGGUACGUACUGGUCAAAUUGAUUCCUACCUUCUGACGAACCACGAUGUCAUUAAUUUGGUGUCGCGGGAAAUCAGGACUGUUACUUUGAAAAAAUUAGAGUGUUUAAAGCAGGCUCGCGCUUGAAUGCAUUAGCAUGGAAUAAUGAAAUAGGACGUUUGAUUCUAUUUUGUUGGUUUCUAGGAUUCGACGUAAUGAUUAAUAGGGAUAGUUGGGGGCAUUAGUAUUCAAUUGUCAGAGGUGAAAUUCUUGGAUUUAUUGAAGACUAACUACUGCGAAAGCAUUUGCCAAGGAUGUUUUCAUUAAUCAAGACGAAAGUUAGGGAUCGAAGACG